UACGGGAGGCAGCAGUGGGGAAUAUUGCACAAUGGGCGAAAGCCUGAUGCAGCUAUGCCGCGUGUAUGAAGAAGGCCUUAGGGUUGUAAAGUACUUUCAUCGGGGAGGAAAAAACAAAACUAAUAAUUUUAUUUCUUGACGUUACCCGAAAAAGAAGCACCGGCUAACUCCGUGCCAGCAGCCGCGGUAAUACGGAGGGUGCUAGCGUUAAUCAGAAUUACUGGGCGUAAAGAGCACGUAGGUGGUUUUUUAAGUCAGAUGUGAAAUCCCUGGGCUUAACCUAGGAACUGCAUUUUGAAACUGAAAUACUAGAGUAUCGUAGAGGGAGGUAGAAUUCUAGGUGUAGCGGUGAAAUGCGUAGAUAUCUGGAGGAUACCUGUGGCGAAAGCGGCCUCCUAAACGAAUACUGACACUGAGGUGCGAAAGCGUGGGGAGCGAAACAGGGAUUAGAUACC
rnacentral:rRNA from 1 species